rnacentral:snoRNA from 1 species
AAAGGACUUAAAAAUUAAUAUCUAUUUAUUGUUGUUCCCCCUGCUUAAAGCAAAUGAUGCAUAACUAUCUCUGUCUAGCACAAUUCCAUAGCUAGACAGAGAUGCUUGGCCUCAAACAU